rnacentral:rRNA from 1 species
UACAGGGGGUGCAAACGUUGCUCGGAAUCAUUGGGCGUAAAGCGCACGUAGGCGGUUCGUUAUGUCGGAUGUGAAAGCCCUUGGCUUAACCGAGGAAGUGCAUCCGAAACUGGCGAGCUAGAGUACUAAAGAGGAUCGCGGAAUUCCCGGUGUAGAGGUGAAAUUCGUAGAUAUCGGGAGGAACACCAGUGGCGAAGGCGGCUCACUGGCCCGAUACUGACGCUGAUGCACGAAAGCGUGGGGAGCAAACAGG